CGAGUGGCGAACGGGUGAGUAACACGUGAGUAACCUGCCCCCGACGAGCGGGAUAGCCCUGGGAAACUGGGAUUAAUACCGCAUAGUAUCGAAAGAAUUAAAGCAGCAAUGCGCUUGGGGAGUGGGCUCGCGGCCUAUUAGUUAGUUGGUGAGGUAACGGCUCACCAAGGCGAUGACGGGUAGCCGGUCUGAGAGGAUGUCCGGCUACACUGGAACUGAGACACGGUCCAGACUCCUACGGGAGGCAGCAUG
rnacentral:rRNA from 1 species